AUAUGCAAUUGCGUUAAUUUGAGUGUGAUUUUUCAGCAAGUAACGUUAAUCCUAGCAAGCUACGUUAGUUACAAUGAAGAUCAAACGACAAAAAAAAACACUAAUUUAUACAAACACAACUUCAGUUUUAGAGAGCCCUUUCAAAUUCUGAUCGACGGGACGUUUUGCCAGGCGGUACUGAAGAAAUAAGAUCCAAAUCAAAGAACAGAUGCCGAAAUACCUAAUGGGAGAGGUGCAACUUUGUACUACAAAUUGUGCUCUGAAGGAACUUGAAUCAACGAAGGACCUCUAUGGUGCCAAACUCAUCCUGCAGCGGUAUCAGGUUAGGAACUGCGAGCAUUUCAAGAACCCCGUCUCUGUGUCUGCUGUCAAUGCUGGAAGGGACUAUUCCUCACCACUACUUUGUUGUCAGACAGGACCAAGAGGUGACAUCAGGCCUGAAGAUCCCAGGCGUGCCACUCCUGUAUAUCAUCCUCAACACCAUAGUGUUGGACAAGCCCAGCCUAUGCUCUGUGAACCAUGUGCAGGCUGUGGCUCUGAGAGAGAUGGUCACCCCAGCAGCAGAGCAUCAACAACCUGAAGGAGUUGCAGGGGAUUGGGCAGGAUGGAGAGCACCAGGGCAAGAAGCGUAAGAGGAAAAUCUCCAACCCCAACCUGCUCAGCUGCCUGAAGAAGAAAAAGACACAGACACAGCUGCUUAAGACUGAGGGUAAAAAUAAGUCUGCAAAGGAAAGUCGCAAGUGAGAGGGAGGGGAGGGUCCAUCCCUAAAACCAACCCCAAACCCCUAGUGGUAGGAAGAGAUGUAUGUUUUGAGGGCAGGAUAUAAAUGUUUUUCCCUCCCCAAAAGUUGAACUGAAUAUAAGAAAUAAAUAUUAAUAUAUAUAUACAUAAUCUCUACUAAACCAAUUUGCUCCUCUAUUUGCCAGUUUAAAGGUAUCCCAAUUCAAUGUCUGGAGAACAUAUUUUGCAGAAGCACACAGCCAUGUCAGCAUGCUUCUAAAAAAUGUAUCCUUAAACAGUUCAAUCUUGUUUGAACAUCAGAAGGUAUUGAUCAAAGUCAUUAUAGUAAGUCCAUAGCAAUUAUAUCCAAUUCACUGGCUCAAUGAACCAGCUAUGAAAAGGAUUCAUUGACAUGAACUGUUGAAACCG